rnacentral:rRNA from 1 species
UACAGGGGGUGCAAACGUUGCUCGGAAUCAUUGGGCGUAAAGCGCGCGUAGGCGGUUACUUAUGUCGGAUGUGAAAGCCCCUGGCUUAACCGGGGAAGUGCACCCGAAACUGAGUAGCUAGAGUGCCAAAGAGGGUCGCGGAAUUCCCGGUGUAGAGGUGAAAUUCGUAGAUAUCGGGAGGAACACCGGUGGCGAAGGCGGCGACCUGGGUGGAUACUGACGCUGAGGCGCGAAAGCGUGGGGAGCAAACAGG